GCGUUGUUCGGAAUUACUGGGCGUAAAGGGCGCGUAGGCGGCCUGCUAAGUCGAACGUGAAAUCCCCGGGCUCAACCCGGGAACUGCGUCCGAUACUGGCAGGCUUGAAUCCGGGAGAGGGAUGCGGAAUUCCAGGUGUAGCGGUGAAAUGCGUAGAUAUCUGGAGGAACACCGGUGGCGAAGGCGGCAUCCUGGACCGGCAUUGACGCUGAGGCGCGAAAGCCAGGGGAGCAAACGGG
rnacentral:rRNA from 1 species